rnacentral:rRNA from 1 species
CACGUAGGGUCCGAGCGUUGUCCGGAAUUACUGGGCGUAAAGCGUGCGCAGGCGGUUGGGUCAGUCGCUGGUGAAAGCCCCACGCUCAACGUGGGAAUGGCCAACGAGACGGCCCGACUGGAGGCAGGGAGAGGCCGGUGGAAUUCCGGGUGUAGUGGUGAAAUGCGUAGAGAUCCGGAGGAACACCAGAGGCGAAGGCGGCCGGCUGGACCUGACCUGGCGCUGAGGCACGAAGGCGUGGGGAGCGAACGGG